CCUGAGGCCAAGACACUACCUUGGGGCUGCACUGAUAAAACUACAAGAUACCUGCUCCAGCCUGGCCUGCUCUUCCUGGACCUCAGCUCCUCACUCAAUGAUGACAGCACUUUUGAAGAAUCACACCUAUGCUGUUUCCAGCUGCUGGUGCUGCUGAAGUCUAGAGAGUGUGCCGCCAGCCCAGGCCAAAAUUGACGCAAAAUACAGACAUUUUUAAACUGAGAAACAAAAUAAGAUGCACUCCGUUUUAAGGAAGCAGAAAUUAUGAAGAGAUACAAAGUCACCAAAACAAUUUUGUUGAUUAAUUGUAAAAUGUGCCACAGAACAGUAAAUAUGAUGGUAAAACGAGAAGCUUCCUUGAGCAAUGAGAAACAAUUUUACUAUCCUAAGAUCAGGCCCAGCAGGGAAAACACCACAGGGUGAGCCUCUGAGUUCUGCAGGUCUGGCUCCAAAGGCCAGAGCUCAGCACUGAUUUUCCUAACACCUACAUCUGGACAGUCAGCAGUUAUUUACUCUUCAAAGGACAUGAGCAAAACAAAGAAAUGCUUCUCUCUACUAACAAUGUUGCUUAAUCAGAAAGAAUCUAAAUUGGAUUUCAAAAGUUUCUGGUCUUCUC
rnacentral:lncRNA from 1 species